GUUGUGAUUUUGCUCUUAAAUUGGUAUCUUUGAACCAUUGAAAACAAC
rnacentral:other from 1 species